rnacentral:lncRNA from 1 species
GAUAUGGCGUUCUGGGGAAUGAGACCAGCAGUUUAAAACCAAGAGCUGCAUGUCACAGCAUAAAAGACUUAUGCAUCCAAAAACUAGGAACCUGGAGCGGAUUGAAGCUACUCGACCUAAGGGAAAGAGCCUGCGAGAAAUGCACAAGAGCUGCCGGACGGAGGAAGAGAUGGAUCUACUGCUAGAGCUGGAAGAAAUAGUUAAGACUGAGCGCUUCAUUAAUAAACUGAUCGGGGAACAUUUGCCCACAAAAACGGCGAAGCAGAUCAGUGAUAAAAGACAGCAGCUUGCGGCUGGUACCAAGACAGCGGCACUGCCAAGAAGAGCUGCAGCAGUGCAUAUUGGGAAGGCCCCGGUGGAGAAGGAGAGGGGUGAGAUGAUAAGAAUGGAAUAUAGGAAGAUUAUGGCAGAGAAGAUACGAGCAGGUUCCCUGCCGGCAAGCCAAAUGAUCGCAUGUAGAAGGAUCUUAGAGGAUGGCGAGGAUGCCCGGAGAGUCAUUGAAGCAUCGGCAGUAGAGUGGCUGACAGAGCUGGCGGGGAAGAUCGCCAUAGCGAAAUUGAAACAACAGAGGAAGCACCAAGUAAAAUCCACACCUGUGAGGGAGGAAAGGAGGUGGAUGAAGAACAGGGUGGUGAGAAGGGGGUUGUAUCUCCGAUACCAGCGGCUCUUUGAGAUAGAUUGCAAGAAGCUCGCUGGUAUCAUUUUGGAUAGCAUCGAGGCACUGAAGGGCCCCCUUCCAAUGAGCAAGGUAUACGGCUCGUUUUGGAGGAAGUGGGAAGAGGGAUCCCCAUUUGUUGGCUUGGGUGCUUUCCAGAGCGCUGGUAUUGCGGAGAAUUCUGCAUUCAAGAAAAUGAUCUCCCCAAAGGAGGUCUUGAAAUACAUCGUGGAAAUGAAUAAGAACUCUGCUCCCGGACCACACGGCCUCUCCCUGAGGGACGUUAUUAAAAAGGACCCUCAGGGCAGCCAAUUGGCUGAAGUUCAACCUAUGGCUGCUGGCCGGAAGGAUCCCAGAUGGGAUCAAACAAUGUAGAACAAUUUUAAUACCAAAAUCCGUGGAUCCAAGUAAAA